rnacentral:rRNA from 1 species
AGUGGCGGACGGGUGAGUCCAUUUGGGAAAGGGGCUUCAGGUGAGGAAUACCUCCGGGAAACCGGGUACAAAAACGAAUAGCCUCGCUUCCGUGGAGGGAGAGAGGAAAGCUCUUCGCGAGAGGAGCGCCUGAAGAGGGGCCUGUGGCCUAUUAGCUAGCUGGUGGGGUAAGAGCUUACCAGGGCGACGAUCGGUAGCUGGUCUGAGAGGACGAGCAGCCACACUGGGAUUGAGAACGGCCCAGACUCCUACGGGGGGCAGCAAUGAGGAAUUUUCCGCAAUGGACGCAAGUCUGACGGAGCAACGCCGCGUGCAGGAGGACGGCCUUCGGGUUGUAAACUGCUUUUCUGGGGGGCGAGAAGACAAGGACGGUACUCCAGGAAGAAGCCCCGGCUCACUACGUGCCAGCAGCCGCGGUAAUACGUAGGGGGCGAGCGUUGUCCGGAUUUACUGGG